GUGAGGAAGGAAGAAGAAUAAUAUGGACCCCAAGGUUUUGCAAGGCUGAAUGAGAGCUUCCUAGAACAUCUAAGACAGAAUCCAGGAUAUCUACUCCUCUGGAAAAGGCAAGAAAUAUGAUGUCCAUUAUACAUGGGAAGUCAUGCGAAACAUAUUUCCAUAUUAACCAUGUUUCAAAAAAAAAGAAAAGAAGAAAGUGAAAAAAUUAUGCUUUGGUUUGCAUUCAGACUUCAUCAGUUUUCUCUCUCUGGAGGCAGAAAGCAUUUUCAUCCAGAGUUAAUGGAUGCCUUCUGAUACCUGAUGGGCAGUCAUGAAGAAAAGAGGCUGGAUUUGUUCUUUUUGGACAGAGAAGAGAAAAAAACCAUCUCUAUAGAAGCUAUAAAGAAGCGAAUUUCCCCUCUGCCUCCAAGAGGAAUAGGCUGCGUUGGGAGGUAAUGAGCUCACCAUAUCUGAAGGUCUUCAAAUAGAGAACAGUCUGAGAUGCUGUACAGAGGAUUCCUAUAAAGAUACAGGAGGUACUGAACGGGCAUCUCCCCCAUCCUCAAAUCCUUUCCAGAUCUGAGAUUCUGUGAUUUAAUGAACUGGAAGCCUUCUUUCAUUUUCCCCUAAUAAUACCUUAUGUGUCUUAACAGAGGCAUAUGCACAUGCUGAACAAUGGCACCUCUCGGAUCUCCUUUUUACCAACUGCUGGCAAAUAGAAUCUGGACACUUGGGGUUUAAUCCCUGGAGACUUUUUCUGUGACUGAAGCAGGAACUGACAGGCUUUCUGUGUUGUAAGACCCCCUCAUUUUACAGUCAUAGACACCGAGGCCAUUGCAGGCUAAAUAAUUUCAAAUCUCUCCCUCUGUGAUCUCAUCCAUGUGGGGAGCUCCCUCCACCACUAAGCCCUUCCUUACUUCUGACUUUGCUCACAGUUACUUAACAAAACCUGUUAAAUAGAAUUAGUUGAGUGGAGGAAAUCACAUCUAAGCUUUGGCAGAAGAUAAUGAUUUGGAGAACCCAGAAAUGAGGUAAUCUGGUAUUUCAAGCAGGGGGGGGAUGCCUCUGGGAAUGCACAGAGGGGCAGCCGGUGGGAGAGGAAGCCUAAGAAAUAUGUCUUAGCCUUGAAAACCAACCUGAAGAGUGCUUUUUAUUCUACAAGCAAUGGAGAGUCGAGGGAAGCUCUUGACUGAUGGGGUCAGGUCUGUACCUGAUCAAUCAAUCAACCAAUAAACAUUGAUACCGUGCCUACUAUGUGCCAGACAUUGCAUUAAGCUCUGGGGAUAGGAAAAGAGGUAAAAGAUCAUUGCUGAUCUUAAGGAUUUCAUGAUCUAAAGGAGGAGACAACUCUCAAAUAAAUACAGAGCAAGCCAUAUAAUAAGAAAUAAUGAACAGAGUGAAAGGCAUUGGGAUUAAGAGGGUAGGGAAGGCUUCCUGUAGAAGGUGGGAUUUAAAGGGAAUUUAAAGGGAGGUUAAUAGUGAGAGCAGAGCAGGUAGUGCAUUCCAGCCAGAUACAGGGGACAUCUAGGAAGAAUGCCUGGAACUGAGAGAUGGAGUGUGGAUUAUUUUAUUUUAUUUUAUUUUUUUGCUGAGACAAUUGGGGUUAAGUGAUUUGCCC